rnacentral:rRNA from 1 species
UACGGGAGGCAGCAGGGGGAAUAUUGCACAAUGGGCGCAAGCCUGAUGCAGCCAUGCCGCGUGUAUGAAAAAGGCCUUCGGGUUGUAAAGUACUUUCAGUCGUGAGGAAGGUGUUAAGGUUAAUAACCUUAGCAAUUGACGUUAGCGACAGAAGAAGCACCGGCUAACUCCGUGCCAGCAGCCGCGGUAAUACGGAGGGUGCGAGCGUUAAUCGGAAUUACUGGGCGUAAAGGGCACGCAGGCGGUUAAUUAAGUUGGAUGUGAAAUCCCCGGGCUUAACCUGGGAAUGGCAUUCAAGACUGGUUAGCUAGAGUCUUGUAGAGGGGAGUAGAAUUCCAUGUGUAGCGGUGAAAUGCGUAGAGAUGUGGAGGAAUACCGGUGGCGAAGGCGGCCCCUGGACAAAGACUGACGCUCAUGUGCGAAAGCGUGGGGAGCAAACAGGGAUUAGAUACC